rnacentral:rRNA from 1 species
UGGGGAAUAUUGCACAAUGGAGGGAACUCUGAUGCAGCGACGCCGCGUGAACGAAGAAGGCUUUCGAGUCGUAAAGUUCUUUUAUAUGGGAAGAUAAUGACGGUACCAUAAGAAAAAGCCCCGGCUAACUACGUGCCAGCAGCCGCGGUAAUACGUAGGGGGCUAGCGUUGUCCGGAAUCACUGGGCGUAAAGGGUUCGCAGGCGGAAAUGCAAGUCAGGUGUAAAAGGCAGUAGCUUAACUACUGUAAGCAUUUGAAACUGCAUAUCUUGAGAAGGGUAGAGGUAAGUGGAAUUUUUAGUGUAGCGGUGAGAUGCGUAGAUAUUAAAAAGAAUACCGGUGGCGAAGGCGACUUACUGGACUUGAACUGACGCUGAGGCACGAAAGCGUGGGGGGCAAACAGG